CUAAACCUUAAAUUUGAGAAAUUUUUCCAUAAACUCGAAAAUAUAAUUCAACAUACUUACAGUUACCUCUAAAUCAAUGGAAAAGUUGGAGAAAUGGAUAAUCAAAGCUUGAAAACCCACAUUUCUUCUCCUUCUUCUUCAAUUUUUUUUUUUUUUUUCUUUCACGUUUCUCGGUUCUUCUCCUCUGCUCUUUGUGCGUU
rnacentral:lncRNA from 1 species